UUCACAAGAAAAAAACGAAAUCCUUCUUCUUCUUCUUUUUCGAUACGGCGGUGAUACUAGGACUUUCACGAUUCUUCUUUCGAUCUGAAACGGUUUAAUUAAUGGCUGUGUGGUAAAUCGAAUUGAUUCACCCCUCCACAAUUCAUCUUCAAUGCUUUGUGAAAGGCGGUCUGUAAACAGUAUAAAUAGAUGUGAAUAUUGCUCUGCUUGAACUCAUAAUCCCUUUAUAUCUCUCAGCUCUAUCUAAUUCACUGUAAUAUGGCUAAUACCAGAGUUUUCUUUUCUGAUCUGAAUUCCGGCGGCAAGUGUUCAUCCGUCGUCGAGGCUAGACUCCUGCGAUAUUGGGAGGCCCGAAUGUGGAGAUGACCAUCUCGGAUGCGACAAACUCGGCUGUGUUUGUGGUGUUUUAUGCAGAAAUGUCUAAGUUAACAAAUGUGCGUGCGGCAGGAAGCGGGAGAGCUCAUGAACUAUGCAGUUGAUGCUCCUGUUGAGAUAUGUGAGAAGCUUGCUAUUCCUGAAGCUGAAUGGCCACGAGCUAUUAGUGAAUUGUGCGGUUUGAUUCAUAUCGAAGAGGCUCUGUUCUAACACCGCAUGGAUAUAUAUAUAUAUAUAUAUAUAUAUAUAUAUGUGUUUAGCUUUGUCUCAACAUCAAUGGAGUGAAAGAAGGCAUUGAAUGGAUGUCAAAGUUUGAAAAGGGGAAGAGAUAUAUGGUCUGCCGUCACUGGCACAACGACAUGGCUGAACUGGAAAAGUGCUGGAGGAAAAUAAGGUGGUCUUUACAUGAAUACUACUUGGUCCAAGAAGAACAAUACGAACGCAAUUUGUAGCUAAAUAAUCAUGCCCUCAAAAAUUUACAGGACGAAUGAAAUCCUUGAGAGAUGUCCAAAAUAUUUUUAUUAUAAACAGAGAAAUUCAACUGUUUUGUUAUGUGACACCACCGCUGUACUCCUCCCACAUGUAACAUGACUCUUGCAUUUCCUUAUCUUUUUCAAGUUUUUACGUUACAACCACAGCCUUACUUUACGACGAGUUGCAUGCUUUGUUUUUUUUUAAUUUUCACUCUCAACCUCUUCAAUUAAUACCUUAUCCAAUAAGUAUAUAUAAUAAAUAAAAACAUAUGCAAAUUGCUUUAAAGAAAACCAUACAAAUACAGUAUUACACAGUAAUACGUUGCAACAAAAUUAUAUAAAACUCACAGUUUGCUCGGCAAACAAAAUAUUAAUCAAACCAUUCGAAUAUUAAAAAAUUCAACAUGUAGCAUAAUAUCUCUAACGGGCCUAGCCAAUCUCCAAACGAAACUUAAUAUCCAAUCUUACAACAUGGUCCAACAUUAUAGUCAUAGUAAUGAAACCCAAGUCAAAGUAGGUUUGCGUAUUUGGCUGAGAUUAAUAUUUUCCAGGCAAAGAAACAAAAAAAAAUUAUUUGAAUACUUUAAUGAGUCAACUUUUUUGUGUAUAUUAUUUCUUAUAUAUCAUUAUUAUUAACGUUAUGGACGACAAAGUACCACUGAGAACUUCUAAUUAGUAUUUGAAUACUUUCAUAACCCUCAACAGUCGCCACUACCAUACAUGCCUUCGUAGAAUUCAUCUUAAAGUUUAUGAAUAAUUUAAGAGGCUUAUUUUGUAACAAAAAUAGAAAGUGAUUAGAAAGAAAAAGAAAUACACCAUCACCUUCAGAAAGCUAUAUAAGCUUAAAAUUAUAACUACUAAGGUUUUAAACUCUUUAAUCAGACUUUUUGUAUAUGUGCUGAUCAUAUCUAUCGUUGGUUAUAUAAACUGUCGAGAAUCUCUAAGAGAGAUUUUCAAUAACCGUGGACGGAAAAUCGUGGAAACGUUUGGUCAAUUUGAGUCAAUUAAACUGAUACAGAUAUUUAUAUGCUUCAAAAAGUUCUUUAUGAACUUCACCAAAAAAUAUAUUGGUUUAAAUUUCAUUAACAUGAAGAUACAUUAUCUUUUGUAGCAUCAAAAUCUACAUAUUAUGAUUUUAAAGUAACUAUUGGUCUGAAUCUAUUUUUAUAACUUUAUAUUAUAGUAAUAGACUAUAAGGGAUUAUUAAAUUCAUAGUAAUAUAAUUUUUAAAAAUCCUACUUAAAUGAAUGAGUGUUACUUAAUCAGAAAAUGUAGCACUACCUUGGCUUCAUAUGGUUUAUGUAACAACACCAACUACAAUAGUUGAUGUUAAAACAAAUAUUUUGUAUCAUUUAUUAAUAAGUGUUUCAAAUUGGUAUUAUUUUUUUCUGAUACUACUUAUGUGUUGUAAUAUGAUCUUUUUUUAUAGUAUAACAUACAUAUUUUUUUGUAAAUGCAAACUUAAACACACAAACCACAAAAUCAUAAAAAGUAAUAACCUAGAUCACAAGUAAAUAUCGCCCAUAGGGCGGACCGACCCUAGUAUGUUUGUAUAAAAAUUCAAGCGACGUCUUUCAAGCUAGAAUCAUGUACGCAGGCCAUAAUUAUUUCUUUCCGUUUACAUUUGGAUUCCAUGUUAUGGGGAGUAACACAAACAGAAGCGGAAAAAAAACAACAACAAUUGUGUUAACCAACACAUCUUCAAAUUAAAAUAUUGAACCAAUUUUAAUUUAUUUGUAUUGUCAUGACAACCAAAUCUGCAGUUUCAAAUUAAAAUAUAAACUAAUUAGUAAAAACUCUGAUUUAAAAAUAUGAAAUAUAGAAUUUUCUAUACAUAAUAUUAAAAAAUGAAAUAGAAUAUAUAGAAUAAGCUUUGUUGAAACUUGGGGGUGAAAAAAUAUAUAAUAACUGAACACCAUUGUCUCUUUGUAAAUAUAUUAUAGAGAAUGAUAUUUCUUAUUUUCUAAUUCGGCAGUGCAGUUUGAUACAUGUCUAUGAGAAAUUUCAGAUCAUAUCCACUGUACGAUUAAAAUACAGUGUAUACACAUAGGAAGGAAAGUGCUAUGAUAUGUGUGUAAUAAUUGUCAUAUUUAAAAAAAAAUAGUAAUAAUAAUUGUCAUAUUACCCUUAAAAUGUUUUUUUUUAUUGUUUUUAUCUUACAAAUAUGUUUUUCCUUUCUACUUUUAGUUGCUUUCAAUUUCUAUGAAAACAAUUACUGAACUUUGUGCUUUACAUAAUAAAAACAUGGAUUUUUUUCUACCUAUAAUAUGUUUUGAAACUUUCAAAAGAAAUAUAUAUUUAAAAAAUUUUAUACAAUCUUCUAUAAACGCGAUUUUAAAUCUAUAUUAUUUUACCCAUACAUAUAGUAUAUUUAAAUUUUAUUUUCAAAUGAGACACAAAUAUUAAAAAUCUCCUCAUCUACUUCUUGUGGUGGCCUCUCCUCCUCCAUCAACCUUGAUGACACCUCCUCAACUCCUCUGCAUAUUGUACUUUCUCGUAAGCCUCAUGGUUUUUAUCUUUCACCUCCCCCUCCGCCUUUUCUUUUGUCUACUCCUCCACCUCCUCCUCAUCUUCCUCAUCCUCCUUAUUCUCUUCUUCCUCCUCAUGAUAUGGUGUUGCUUUUAAUUGAUUGUUAUGUACUAUAUAUUUUACAAAUAUAGCAUAGUACAACAUCGACUUUUGUAUUAACGAACCCUCAGGCACGGAGAAGGAGAAAGUUGUCCACUUUCAUACCAAAUUGACACACAUAUUAGUGCAUGGCUAUAUUUUUAAUUCUUCUUCUACUAUGUACAUUUCACAAGCAGAUUAAAUCUAUAGAACUAUUAUUCCAAUACCUUCUAUAGAAAAUACAUGUAUGUUUGAUAUAUGUUUAGAAAAAACAUACAUAUAUCAAACUCUACAGGUAGAAAACUCUUUGGUCGUUGCUAAUGCUGAAACAUUAAGUCUUUAGAACUAUUAUUCCAAUACAUUCUAUAGAAAAUACAUACCAAAUUAAAAUAUUAGUUUAGGUCAUGUUCGUUUUUGUAUUUGAUAUAAAAUCUUGAUGUACCAUCUAAAUACAACAUCUAGAUGUACCAUCUAAACACAAUAUCUAGAUAUUGCAUCUAAAUAUUGUUUGUUUUUAUAGCUAGUAUUUUCAUACAGAUGGAACAUCUAAAUGCUAAAUAAUGUUUGUUUUUUAUUCUAUAAUAACAUUUGAAUAUUAUUAAUUAAAAAAAGUAAACAUAACAUAAUUAUUAUUCUUAAUGGAGAACUAGUUAUAAUAAUUAAAUAAAUAUAACUAAAAUUAAUUACUUUAAUGGCGGGAAAGAGUGAUUUUGCGAUUUAUGCGGGAAACUUAAAUAGAAUAAAUAACAAUAUAGAAUAUGAAGAGAUUGUAGAGAGAAUAUGGAGAAUAGGUAAUAAAGAAAGAAACUUAAUUCCCCUAUUCUUACAAUUGACGAGAUGUUAUAAAUUAAGUUUAAGUUUUUCUUAGGAAACUAAACAAACUAGACUUACUAAAACGCUAAAAUAAAAAUAAAUAUUUCUUUGGAAAAAUUGCCAAAAAUGACUCAAAACUUAAGUUUGAAUACAAAAGUGUACCCUAAAUUCAAUCAAAUGCAAAAGUAACCCAAAACACUAGUGAAAUUACAACAACCUCCUUAUGACUAAACAAAAAACAUGUAUUGAGGUUUACCAUUAUAAUCCUCUGCGUGAGAUGACUUAUUUGUAAGUCUUCUCGUUCAGUAGAUCUUUAUAAUAACUUAAAAAUUUUAUAAAAAAUAUUUUGAUGGGAAAAAAAUUGAUAUCAUGUAAUAAUAAACGUUUCUAAAUGAUGUAAAUGUUUUUUGUUAACGCUGGAUAAUUAUGCUAUUACAACUAUAAAAAAUAUUACAAACGAUUUUACAGCCGACAAUUCUACAUGCCGUAUGAGAAUUCACGCCUGACGAGACCACAUACAGAUUCAUGGAUAAGGAGGGGAACGUACUGUUCUUCAAGCUACCGCAACCCAACCUCACAAACUUCAGCUCGAAAGAGAACAUCCGUUUCCUACCUGACCCGGAGUUCCUUUGCGUCGAUCCACGAGCGCCACCUCCGGAUGACGAGAUGGAUUAGCCAGAGGACAUCACACCGAAUGAGGCCACGGCCUAUGACUUAGGCCCACUUGAUGAUGACGCAGACGAUGCCAUAUACCGCCGCUGGAUGGUUGAUUCGCAGCGAAAGAACAGCAGCCUCAUGAAGAGGAUCCUUAAGGCGAUCACGGGAGGUUGUUUUGGCGGUCAGGAACCCCAGCCAUUCCCGCAUGAGCAGACUCCGCAGCAAUCACAUUGGCCGGUCAAGGAACCGGCUGGAUGUUCCGCAGCAGAAGAGCGUCUAAAGAGGAACCGGAGGACAGCUGGUCGCUCCGAGAGCGGGGAGUCAGACUGAUUCCACCACAUCACCCUAUCUCAUUGUGUUAUUCAUGUUGACAAUUUAUUUUUUCUUGCUUUUUAUUUGCUUUAAUUUGGUUUGUUUUAGCCUACCUCGGAUUUAUUUUCACGACCAGGGAUGGUGUGAAGUAAGUCUGGGGGAGGCAAUUGUGUUUCAUCAGAUUUAUUUUUUCUUGCUUUUUAUUUGCUUUAAUUUGGUUUGCUUUUAUGUUUGAGUCAGUCCUUGUGUUUCAUCGAGUCAGUCCAAACUCUUGUGGGAAUUAGGACCCUAUUCUGUGAUGAUUUUUCAACCACCUCGUGCUUUGACUUUCUUAUUCAGUGACCUUAGCAGUGACGAAAGACCCGCACUUGGACCUGGAACAAUCCUGACUUACCUCACUUGACUCUCCAGAAUUUUUUAGCCGAUCAGGUUACAUUGGGUAGAUUUAACUCCACCUAACUUGAACCUAAUAUUGACUGCAAUUUCCUCUUGUUAUGGGCAUUAGAUCAGGGAAACGAGACCUACACUCAGGACUUCUUAUUAUUUUCAUCCAUCUUGCUGAUCCUGAGUGGCUGCUCAUUUUUAGCUAGUUCCUACAUUGCACCUAAGCCUUUAUUCCUCCUUCAUGCAUUCUGUUUUCAGUUUCAUAUGUGCAGAAAUGUGCAAAAAUGUUGUAGAGGAAAGGAUCGACAGGCCUCUUACUCGUUAUAGUUGCAAAGGUUCGAACAUAGUAAGGAGAACAGUCAUUUCAAGCAGUCGGAACAACUGCACCAGAACAGUCAGAAAGGAUCAAGGGUUUUAGCAGGAUCGCCAUCGGCACCAAUCAUCCCAUGCAUCAUCUCCUUCUCCGUCACACCAUCAUGUUGAUCUCAUCUUACUCAGUUAUCAAAAAAAAAAAAAUUAUUAUAUUCUUCUAUAUGAGAUCACUGAUGGAGAAGGAGGAUUUAAACGAGCAAACGUUAACAGCUGGUUGGACGUCAACUCCCUCGAGCUAUUUCAAUUCGAGCUAGCCUAGGAAAAAUUUAUGCUUGAUCAAGAACCUAAAUGAAAGCUCUCCUUUCGAUAUCAUGAGAACACUGGGCGAUAAGGACAAGGAUACUUGGUACCAGUAACAGGGAGCAGGGGAACAGUCGGAGCGAUAGCUCCAGAAGUCAGCAGAACGAGUAAAGGGUUGUGGACAUCAAUGGAUCCAUCCUCUCUUGCUAUUUUGCGUGAUAUCCUGGAUCCACUACAGAAAAUUGGUAGCCCCUAAACACUCUUUGACUCCACUAUAAAGUUAGCAUGUUCACACCUAGACCGUCUACCCUGAAUGAUGCAUGUGACAAGAGGAUCACGCCACUUUAAAAUGAAUGUAUGGGAGUUCUGUCUCGAUAGUGUGCUUUUUCAGGUUUGAGAUGUAGAGUAUGGAGCCGAUCUUUGCACAGCGAUCAGUGAAGAUUCUGGUAAAAGUGUGUGGUCCUAGUCGGUUGCUUAUAUGGUUCAGAGAUUCGUGGUUAAGGUAUGGUUAUUGAGAAUUAGGAGAGUUCCCACCCUUUCAAACUAUUUCCCUAUUCUUGAUACUUGCCUUGUUCGAGAACAAACAAGGAGCUAAGUCUGGGGGAAUUGAUAUAUGGUGUUUUUGACAUCAUUGUGUUUGUGCUUUCUAACUUGUUUUCAGUGUUUUAUCGAGUUAGUCUAGUCUUUCUAGAGUAAUUUCAGGUCUGGAGAAGACUGAAGAGCUAAAGGAAGAAGCAUGAAGAAAGGAGCAAGAAUUGGAGAUCUUCCCGAAGAACAAUCCAGCGGAGCAGUCUGACGAUCGAUCCUACCAGGAGCAGCCAUACGAUUGCUCUCGAUAUUUAUGGAAGUUUCCAUAUCUUUCAAAGAUUUGCCCUAAUUUCUGAUUUCCUACUCUGAAGUCUAUGGGCGCCUCCAUAUAAAAGCGACCCCUAUCUAUCUUUUAUUGACCACGCUAAUUUUGCAAGAGACCUAGACCUAUUCUUGAAUAUUUGCUAUUGUAAGGGAGACGGCUCGUCUUCUUGACAGAGAAGAUCAUCCUGAACCCUAUUGAUUUAUCUUUGAACUUAUAUGCAGUAUUAUUCAGUUAUCA